GAUGAACGCUGGCGGCGUGCCUAAUACAUGCAAGUCGAGCGAACAGACGAGGAGCUUGCUCCUCUGACGUUAGCGGCGGACGGGUGAGUAACACGUGGAUAACCUACCUAUAAGACUGGGAUAACUUCGGGAAACCGGAGCUAAUACCGGAUAAUAUAUUGAACCGCAUGGUUCAAUAGUGAAAGACGGUUUUGCUGUCACUUAUAGAUGGAUCCGCGCCGCAUUAGCUAGUUGGUAAGUUAACGGCUUACCAAGGCAACGAUGCGUAGCCGACCUGGGAGGGUGAUCGGCCACACUGGAACUGAGACACGGUCCAGACUCCUACGGGGGGCAGCAGUAGGGAAUCUUCCGCAAUGGGCGAAAGCCUGACGGAGCAACGGCGCGUGAGUGAUGAAGGUCUUCGGAUCGUAAAACUCUGUUAUUAGGGAAGAACAAAUGUGUAAGUAACUAUGCACGUCUUGACGGUACCUAAUCAGAAAGCCACGGCUAACUACGUG
rnacentral:rRNA from 1 species